rnacentral:rRNA from 1 species
CCUACGGGAGGCAGCAGUGGGGAAUAUUGGGCAAUGGAGGAAACUCUGACCCAGCGACGCCGCGUGCGGGAUGAAGGCCUUCGGGUUGUAAACCGCUUUCAGUAGGGAAGAAGCGAAAGUGACGGUACCUACAAAAGAAGCACCGGCUAACUAUGUGCCAGCAGCCGCGGUAAUACAUAGGGUGCAAGCGUUGUCCGGAAUUAUUGGGCGUAAAGAGCUCGUAGGUCGUUUGUUACGUCGGAUGUGAAAACCUGAGGCUCAACCUCAGGCCUGCAUUCGAUACGGGCAAACUAGAGUUUGGUAGGGGAGACUGGAAUUCCUGGUGUAGCGGUGGAAUGCGCAGAUAUCAGGAGGAACACCAAUGGCGAAGGCAGGUCUCUGGGCCAAUACUGACACUGAGGAGCGAAAGUCUGGGGAGCGAACAGGAUUAGAUACCCUGGUAGUCCAGACCGUAAACGGUGGGCACUAGUUGUGGGAACCUUCCACGGUUUCUGCGACGCAGCUAACGCAUUAAGUGCCCCGCCUGGGGAGUACGAUCGCAAGAUUAAAACUUAAAUGAAUUGACGG